rnacentral:rRNA from 1 species
GACGAACGCUGGCGGCGUGCCUAAUACAUGCAAGUAGAACGCUGAAGGAGGGGCUUGCCCUUCUGGACGAGUUGCGCACGGGUGAGUAAAGCGUAGGUAACCUGUCUCGUAGCGGGGGAUAACUAUUGGAAACGAUAGCUAAUACCGCAUAAAAUUGAUUAUUGCAUGAUAGUCAAUUAAAAGAUGCAAUUGUACCACUACUAGAUGGACCUGCGUUGUCUUAGCUAGUUGGUGAGGUAACGGCUCACCAAAGGCACCAUACAUAGUCGGCCUGGGGAGGGUAUCGGCCACACCGGGACUGAGACACGGCCCAGACUCCUACGGGAGGCAGCAGUAGGGAAUCUUCGGCAAUGGACGGAAGUCUGACCGAGCAACGCCGCGGGAGUGAAGGAGGUUUUCGGAUCGUAAAGCUCUGUUGUAAGAGGAGAACGAGUGUGAGAGUGGAAAGUUCACGCUUUGACGGUAUCUUACCAGAAAGGGACGGCUAACUACGUG